rnacentral:rRNA from 1 species
GACGAACGCUGGCGGCGUGCUUAACACAUGCAAGUCGAACGGAAAGGCCCUGCUUUUGUGGGGUGCUCGCGUCGCGAACGGGUGAGUAACCCGUGAGUAACCUGCCCUUGACUUUGUGAUGACCUCAGGAAACCGGGGCUAAUACCUGAUAGGAGCUCCUGCUGCAUGGUGGGGGUUGGAAAGUUUCGGCGGAUGUGGAUGGGUUCGCGGCUUAUUAGCUUGUUGGUGGGGGAGUUGCUUACCAAGGCGUUGACGGGUAGCCGGCCUGAGAGGGUGACCGGCCACACUGGGACUGAGAGACGGCACAGACUGCUACGGGAGGCAGCAGGGGGGAAGAUUGCACAAGGGGCGGAGGCCGGAUGAAGAAACGCCGCGUGCGGGAUGGCGGCCUUCGGGGUGUAAACCGCUUUCGACUGUGACGAAGCGUGAGUGACGGUAAUGGGUAGAGAAGCAACGGCUAACUACGUG